rnacentral:rRNA from 1 species
UACGAAGGUCCCAAGCGUUAUCCGGAUUUAUUGGGUUUAAAGGGUGCGUAGGCGGGCUAUUAAGUCAGUGGUGAAAGCCCCAGCUUAACUUGGGAACUGCCAUUGAUACUGAUGGUCUUGAGUACAUUUGAGGUGGGCGGAAUGUGUCAUGUAGCGGUGAAAUGCUUAGAUAUGACACAGAACACCGAUUGCGAAGGCAGCUCACUAAACUGUAAACUGA